GGAUAGCGGCAAACGGGUGAAUAAUACAUGGGUAACAUACCUCGAAGAAGGGAAUAGCCUCGCGAAAGCGGGAGUAAUACCAUAUGAGCCCUGAAUCUGAAAUGGUUCAGGGGAAACGAUGGCCUCUAUUUAUAAGCUGUCGCUUCGAGAAAGGCUCAUGGCCUAUCAGGUAGUUGGCGGGGUAAAGGCCCACCAAGCCUAAGACGGGUAGCUGGCUUAAGAGAGUGGUCAGCCACAUCGGGACUGAGACACUGCCCGGACUCCUACGGGAGGCUGCAGUCGAGAAUCUUUUCCAAUGGACGAAAGUCUGAGAAUGCGACGCCGCGUGAGGGACGAAGGUCUUCGGAUCGUAAACCUCUUUUAUUGGGGAGGAAGUUCUGUUUUUUAAUAAAGAGCAGAAUUGACUGUACCCGGUGAAUAAGCCACGGCUAACUCCGUGCCAGCAGCCGCGGUAAUACGGAGGUGGCAAGCGUUACUCGGUUUGACUGGGUGUAAAGGGUCCGCAGGCGGUUUGACAAGUGAAAAGUGAAAUCCUUUUGCUCAACGAAAGAAGUGCUUUUCAGACUAUCAUACUUGAGGAUGGAAGAGGAGAGUGGAACUGUCGGUGUAAAGGUGAAAUUUGUGGAGAUCGACAGGAACGCCCGUGGAGAAGUCGGCUCUCUGGUCCAUUUCUGACGCUCAGGGACGAAAGCUAGGGGAGUAAACAGGAUUAGAUACCCUGGUAGUCCUAGCUGUAAACGAUGGGCACUAGGUGUCUGCGCCUUGUGCGUGGGUGCCGAAGCUAACGCGUUAAGUGCCCCACCUGGGGACUACGGCCGCAAGGCUAAAACUCAAAGGAAUUGACGGGGGCCCGCACAAGCGGUGGAACACGUGGUUUAAUUCGAUGCUACGCGAGGAACCUUACCAGGGUUUGACAUGCUGGUAGUAAUGCUUCGAAAGAGGUUAUGAUCUGUAACCAGUCAGAAGCCAGCACAGGUGCUGCAUGGCUGUCGUCAGCUCGUGCCGUGAGGUGUUUCCUUAAGUGGAAGAACGAGCGCAACCCUCGCUUUUAGUUGCUACCUGUCUCGAUUUAUCGAGGCAGGGCACUCUAAAGGGACUGCCCGUGUUAAAUGGGAGGAAGGCGGGGACGACGUCAAGUCCGCAUGGCCCUUAUAUCCUGGGCUACACACGUGUUACAAUGCCUACUACAGCGGGAGGCCAAGUCGCAAGAUGGAGCAAAUCCCUUAAAAGUAGGCUCAGUUCGGAUUGAGGGCUGCAACCUGCCCUCAUGAAGCCGGAAUCGCUAGUAACGGCGGAUCAGCCACGCCGCCGUGAAUACGUUCCCGGGCCUUGUACACACCGCCCGUCAAGCGCUGAAAGUGGGAGGCACCCGAAGCCCGACCGCAAGGUUAGAACACGGUGAAUUUCAUGAUUGGCGCUAAGUCGUAACAAGGUA
rnacentral:rRNA from 1 species